GAUUCCCCACUCCGGCUGCAGGGCGGCGAUGGCGGACGCGCCGCCGCCGGUGCUGACGCUGCAGGUGAAGAAGGGCCGCCGCGGGGUCGAGACCAGGCAGUGGCGCGCGGGCUCCGUGCUCCGCGUCGGCCGCGUCGCCACCGGGAACGAUCUCGCCGUCCGCGACGCGGGGGCGUCGCAGCGCCACCUCUCCAUCUUGUUCCUCCCGCCGCCGGCCGCGCGGUGGGCUGUCUCCGACGUCGGCUCCUCCAACGGCACCCUCCUCAACGGCGUCCCCCUCGUGCCCACCGUCCCCACCCUGCUCUCCGACGGCGAUGCCAUCAAGAUCGGGGAGUCCAGCGUGCUCGCCGUCUCCAUUGCGCCCGAUUCGGAUCCCAACCCUGGCCCAAGGCGCUCCUCGCGCCAAUCCGCAGCAGUGGUGGUGGAGCAGGAGAAACCCCCUCCCGUGACCCGCCGUGGCGGACGGAAGAAUGCUGCUGCGGCGGCGGAACCGCCCGAUGCGGAGAAGGAAGAGCCAGAGCCGGAGGAGGCACCAGUGGUGACGCGCCGCGGUGCUCGGAAGAAGGCCGCCGAGCUCCCUAAAGAGGAGAAACAGGAGAAGGGGAAGGAUAAGGGACAGGAGAAGGUGGACGACGACGAGGAGGAGGAGGUCGUGGUGGUGACCCGCCGCGGUGGACGGAAGAAGGCCGCGGAGCCCCAUAAAGCGGAGGAGGAGCACGAGAAGGGGAAGGAUGAGGAACAGGAGGAGAAGAACGAAGGCGAGGAGAAGGAGGUGGAGGUGGCGGUGGUGACACGCCGCGGCGGGCGGAGGAAGGCGGCGCCGGAGGCAGUGCUUCCGCCACCGCCCCCAAGGGCAAGGUCGACUAGGGCAGCGGCCAGGAGAGGCAAAGCAGCAGAUACAAACCUCGAUGAUGGGGAGAGUGAGAUGGCCGGAAAGGGACGGGGAAGGGCCACGAGGUCUAGUUCAAGGAAGGCUCGGAGUACUGUUCCUGAGGACAGCGACGGCGGGGAACGGCAAGAAGGCGCGGUGUCCGACGCAGAAGAGCAGGUAGCGGAUCAACCGAGGGCAGUGGCAGCGACGGAUGGUGAGGAGCAAUAUGAUAAGGUGGAAGCCAUGGAUGGAGAAGUGGGACAGAAUGCCAAGACAUCGGAGGCGCCAGUGGGUCGGGGAGGGCGGGCACGAAGAGCUCCAAAGGGGAAGAAGGCUAAAGCUCAGCGUGCUGCUUCUGCCAACGGGGCUGAGGAAGAAGACGGUGGGAAGAGCAGCAGCUUGGAGACCAUGACACUGAGGGAGUGGUUUGGGAGGAUGAAUGUGUACCUCCCGAGGAUGAUCAAUGAGGCCGCCGAAGAGGCGCUUUCGGCCUUGCGGGAGAGGCAUCGGCGUAUAGAUGAGUACAUUUCAACGCUUGAGGAUUAGCUGCGAUCCUGCGUGAGAUUUCUUGUGUUUCUAUCUGAGAUGCUGAAAAGGAAGAUACAUCUAGCGGGCCAUAUUUUUCUGUGUAAUUAUUGCUCCACAGCACCACCCAUUUAACCAUGACAGAAGAUAAUCAGGAGCUAUUUGGUCAAUCUGACAAAGGAAUGAUGCAUGGAGAUGACAUUAAUCGGAGGAAAUGCUUUGCUGAAGCAGCACAAAUAACUGGCUGAUGUCACUGAGAUUAUUUCCAGAUUUUUAGUUCCACCAAAUGUCACAGAAAUCAUUCAUGUAAUAUAUAGCACUCUUCAUGUUUUCGACAAGUUAUGUUGUACCAGUAGUUUUGUACUCUGCAAAAGUAGGGGGUGCAAGUGCGUCAAAUGGCAACCUGUAAAUGACCUGGGUUCAUAGGCUAACCCACUUAACACCCCUAAGUUAACUUGCUAAGUUAUUCAACAUGCAUCCUGCAGGUUUGCUGGUGCAA